CAUCUCCAUGGCUCUGUGGCACAGGCAGAACAUGUAUCCUUUCCACACACCUGAUCCUCACAUCAGCAUCUAGACCUGCUGUCAGCUUCUCCUGUCCAAGGGAUUGGAGGCAGUUUGGAGUGGGUGAACCAUGCCAUUGAGUCGACCAUUUAUGUAGCUGUUAAUCCUAAAAAAAUAUUUAUUUUUGUGACUAAUUUCUGUACAGGAGUACAGCCCCUAGAUGUGAGAGUUUGGACAACAGGGAAGGUGAUAUAAACCACUCGGUCCUGUUCAGCAGAAAUCUUUGAGAUUUGCUCACUAAGUUUACAUCUCUCCUUGAACAUGAACAGAGAUUUAAAUGACCACCCUGAAGAGGAGUCUUGGUGUCUGCAAAUGAAUAUACAAAAAUCAGGAUAUAGCAAAGCUGUACUUUCUUCCACUUGUAUCCAUAAAAACACUUUUCUGCUGCCGUGCCCAACUCUAGCUCUGUGAAAUGGGAAGGGAUUUCUCUGGAAUGAAAGAAAUGCUAUCUCAUGAGA